rnacentral:lncRNA from 1 species
AUUUGUAUUCCUUUUACAUUUUCAUAUUUUUAAAAUCCUGUGCCAUAUUUUUAUCACAAUAGUGUAUCACAAAGCUGAACACACCUCCUCUUGAACAUUUAUCACUAGUGGCCUUGAAUCUUAUGUGAUAUCAUAAUCAGAAUUUCUACUUCAUAGUGACUGAUAGAGAGCAGCAGUCUCAGCUGUAAAAAUAGAGUCCCCAGGGAAUACUGAUAGCCUUUUUCCAAUAAAGCGAAAUCUAUUUGCAAUAAUAGGUAUAUGCAAAGACCUCCUGAAAUUACAGGAGCAAACUCCUUCCGCAUCUCGACCUAAUUAAGAUCCGUUACUCAACAGUGAUCAGUCAGAUUUUACUGUAAGAAGGAAGAAAACAAGGAUCCUGCUAGAACAACAUGGAAACAGGGAGGCCACCUCCUGUCAAAGCUGGGACAUCUGAGAGACAGUGGUCACACAACAACUCAACUGCAUGUGCACCUAAAACACACUGAUUCCAUGAACAGAGAUUCAUGCCACUGUGUAGUCUGCAACAAAAGUAAGUCAACUGAUGAACAGCUUACUAAAAAUUUAAGGAAGGGAUAUCCUAAAAACAUUUCUCAUGAGCAAGGAAUGAUAGCUGGAAAUUAACAUGACAAUUCUUGUUACUACUAAUUUAAGAUGAAUAAAAUGUCAUUUGCUAAUGUUUGUUCCUACUAUUUUAGUUCAGCAAAUGUAAAAAUUAUUAAUAACAGCUUUCCUAAAGGGAGACUCUUUCUCUUUAACCUUACUUUCCCAUAUAAUCUUAAAAUUUUCCACCAGGAAUACAAAUAGCCCUAAAGGUUUUAGGAACUGAAUCCUGAGGUUAGGACAAACUGUAAAACUGCAGCAUUUUUAGUUUGUUUGAUUAAUUAACUUAUUAUUUAUUUAUCCAACAAACAAUUGUGAUUACCAGUGAGAAUACCCUUAAAAUUGUCCUUUCUGGAGAUCAGAACAAGAAUUGU